AAGUCGUAACAAGGUUUCCGUAGGUGAACCUGCGGAAGGAUCAUUCACUUGAUAGAAAGGCUUGUGUUGAAGCCUUUUUCUCUUUGUCUUAACCAAAGUGGGGGUUCUUGGAAUCACCACUGUGAUGCUUGUUGGGAUAAAUGAGGUCUUGAAUUGAAGCCCUUUGUGAUUGCUUUUAGGCAUAUCUGGCCUUAUCCAGCAAGAAAGGUUCAUGGUCAACCCAACUGUGAGUUUGGGGGAUGGACCGAUAGUGAUCAUAUAUCACUCAGUUUAUUGGUCAAGUUGAAAAGCAAUCCACUCUUGGGGGAAAAGAUAGGAUGUUGUGAGGGUUUGUGUAGCCCCAAACAUAUUUAUCUCUGGGAGUCCUCAAUGAGUUGGUAGAGAACUCGAGACAAUUUGUCCAUAUGAAUUUAUCAUAACAUGGGCUCAUUUACAACUUUCAGCAAUGGAUCUCUUGGUUCUCGCAUCGAUGAAGAACGCAGUGAAAUGCGAUAACUGGUGUGAAUUGCAUCCAAGUAACUCUAAUUUACGAAUAACACCAAGUGAAUCAUCGAGUCUUUGAACGCAAUUGCGCCCUCUCGGUCACUUCCAAUUGGGGGUUGACUCAUAGGGGGUACAUCUGUUCGAGGGUCAUUUGAACCUCUCAAAGGGUUUUCUAAUCCUUUGGAUUUGGGUCUUGCCGUGAAAUUCUAUCUUGGCUUACCUUGAAAGUAUCAGCAAGCUUUUUGGCACUUUGAAAGUCUUUUUGAAUGAGGGCGUUGUUAAUUUGGUCAGGCCCCUGGAGGGAUCUCAUUCUGCAAACUGGUCUGUGCAGCCAGUAUGAAUGUGAUAAACAAAAAACGUCUCAAUUCUAUGAAAAAAGUCUGAAACUUGCUUCCAAUGAUCCUUUGAGGAUAAUAUUAUAAGAGUUGUUGGGGGGCUCUUUCAAUGUAUCAAUGACCUCGAAUCAGAUGAGAAUACCCGCUGAACUUAA
rnacentral:rRNA from 1 species